CAGAUGCUGGUGCCAGGCUGGACUCUGGAGCCCUGGUACUUCGGCUUCCCGCAGCAGCAGCAGUGGACGCAGCAGAGGACGAUCAUGAGGAGGAA